rnacentral:tRNA from 1 species
GCGGGACUGGCGAAUUGGGGAGACGCAGCAGAGUGAGAUGCUGGCGCCCCGAGGUGUGUGGGUUCAAGUCCCUCGUCCCGCACCA